rnacentral:rRNA from 1 species
CGUAGGUAACCUGCCUGGUAGCGGGGGAUAACUAUUGGAAACGAUAGCUAAUACCGCAUAAUAGCAGUUAUUGCAUGAUAACUGUUUGAAAAGGUGCAAUUGCAUCACUACCAGAUGGACCUGCGUUGUAUUAGCUAGUUGGUGGGGUAACGGCUCACCAAGGCGACGAUACAUAGCCGACCUGAGAGGGUGAUCGGCCACACUGGGACUGAGACACGGCCCAG